rnacentral:antisense_RNA from 1 species
AGUUAUGGCGGCUGUACGUGGGACACCUUCGGGUGUGCCGGUUACGUGUUAACGGUCGUUCAACCCGCGUACAGCUGCCACCCUA